AUGCCAUAAAGGCAAACUCUUCGAAAGGAGAGGACGCAAAGCUUCCGGCCUGACCCAUAUAUGUAAGUAGCGAUACAAGUUAGAAUGUUAUAUUUUUUUAAGUUUUAACUAAUUGUUUCUUUGUAUCUACUGUUCUUUCAAAGUUUGAUUGUCGGAUAGAAAAUGCCUUGAACCUUUGAAAGGUCUUAAAAGUCACCCGACAGUUUAAACUUGAAGAAGAACUACUUACAUAUGAAUAUGAAAAGGUAGCGGGGUUGCUGAU
rnacentral:ncRNA from 1 species